GGAAAUCUUGUCACAUGCUACAACGUAGAUGAACCUUGAGGACAUUAUGCUAAGUGAAAUAAACUAGUCACAAAACUGUAUUUCCACUUAUAUAAGGCGUCUAAAGUGGUCAGACUCAUAGAAAUAGAAAGUAGAAUGGUGGUUGCCAUUGGCUGGGAAGAGGGGGAAAUGGGGAGUUGUUGUUCAAUGAGCAGAGUUUCACUUUUGCAAGAUGAAAACAUCCUAGAGAUCUGAUACACAACAAUGUGAAUAUAGUUGACACUACUGAACUGCACACUUAAAAAUGGGUAAGAUGGUAAACUGUAUGUUAUGUGUUUUUUAAUCACAAUUUUAAAAAAACCCAGGCAGGUGGUCCGUGAGGAGCAAGGAGAGCUUCCUUUAUCUGUGGGGAGAGCUGGAGUGGGACCAGUGCAAGGAGUUUUCCCCAGGAGUAGAGAGGGUGGAAAAAGUCAGCAGGUGUCUACCUGAUGUGGGAAAGCUGAUACAUUUACCAAAACCAAGAAGGCUCACUCUGGUGCUGUUUCUGUUUCAGGAGCAGCCCCAGAAGGCGCCCCAUUCCUGGGCCUCCUCCUUUACUCACUGGGAAGUAAACAGAGAUGGGAGGGUCCCUGUUCUGGGAAAAAGCUAAUCAAAUGAUCCAACUGCUCCUCCUUUGCAACCCCGAGAGAGGUACCAGGAAAUACAGCUCUGGCCGAGAGGAGGAUGGCCGUGAAUAAGGGAGGCUGUCACGGAAAACUUCUCCCCUCCUCCCCGCUCAGCCCAGACCUUAGCCUUCACAUGCUGACCCAGAGAAUUUCCGAGGACGUGGGGGUUCAGGCUGCCAAGACGGAUGUGACCAGCAAGGAGCUUCUAAGGUCUGAAGAUUGGGAAGGUCAAGGGUCAAGCUCUCCUAAGCCCCAAAGAGCGAGUCACCCCUCUCGAGUCCUUUCCUGUGAGUUCUUCUCCUCCAACCCCUUGAAAACAAGAUCUCCAUUUCACCUCAGCCAUAAGGUGAUCCAGUGCCAGGAGUGUUUUUAG
rnacentral:lncRNA from 1 species